GGGACACGUGGUAUCCUGUCUGAAUAUGGGGGGACCAUCCUCCAAGGCUAAAUACUCCUGACUGACCGAUAGUGAACCAGUACCGUGAGGGAAAGGCGAAAAGAACCCCGGCGAGGGGAGUGAAAAAGAACCUGAAACCGUGUACGUACAAGCAGUGGGAGCACGCUUAGGCGUGUGACUGCGUACCUUUUGUAUAAUGGGUCAGCGACUUAUAUUCUGUAGCAAGGUUAACCGAAUAGGGGAGCCGAAGGGAAACCGAGUCUUAACUGGGCGUUAAGUUGCAGGGUAUAGACCCGAAACCCGGUGAUCUAGCCAUGGGCAGGUUGAAGGUUGGGUAACACUAACUGGAGGACCGAACCGACUAAUGUUGAAAAAUUAGCGGAUGACUUGUGGCUGGGGGUGAAAGGCCAAUCAAACCGGGAGAUAGCUGGUUCUCCCCGAAAGCUAUUUAGGUAGCGCCUCGUGAAUUCAUCUCCGGGGGUAGAGCACUGUUUCGGCAAGGGGGUCAUCCCGACUUACCAACCCGAUGCAAACUGCGAAUACCGGAGAAUGUUAUCACGGGAGACACACGGCGGGUGCUAACGUCCGUCGUGAAGAGGGAAACAACCCAGACCGCCAGCUAAGGUCCCAAAGUCAUGGUUAAGUGGGAAACGAUGUGGGAAGGCCCAGACAGCCAGGAUGUUGGCUUAGAAGCAGCCAUCAUUUAAAGAAAGCGUAAUAGCUCACUGGUCGAGUCGGCCUGCGCGGAAGAUGUAACGGGGCUAAACCAUGCACCGAAGCUGCGGCAGCGACACUAUGUGUUGUUGGGUAGGGGAGCGUUCUGUAAGCCUGUGAAGGUGUGCUGUGAGGCAUGCUGGAGGUAUCAGAAGUGCGAAUGCUGACAUAAGUAACGAUAAAGCGGGUGAAAAGCCCGCUCGCCGGAAGACCAAGGGUUCCUGUCCAACGUUAAUCGGGGCAGGGUGAGUCGACCCCUAAGGCGAGGCCGAAAGGCGUAGUCGAUGGGAAACAGGUUAAUAUUCCUGUACUUGGUGUUACUGCGAAGGGGGGACGGAGAAGGCUAUGUUGGCCGGGCGACGGUUGUCCCGGUUUAAGCGUGUAGGCUGGUUUUCCAGGCAAAUCCGGAAAAUCAAGGCUGAGGCGUGAUGACGAGGCACUACGGUGCUGAAGCAACAAAUGCCCUGCUUCCAGGAAAAGCCUCUAAGCAUCAGGUAACAUCAAAUCGUACCCCAAACCGACACAGGUGGUCAGGUAGAGAAUACCAAGGCGCUUGAGAGAACUCGGGUGAAGGAACUAGGCAAAAUGGUGCCGUAACUUCGGGAGAAGGCACGCUGAUAUGUAGGUGAAGUCCCUCGCGGAUGGAGCUGAAAUCAGUCGAAGAUACCAGCUGGCUGCAACUGUUUAUUAAAAACACAGCACUGUGCAAACACGAAAGUGGACGUAUACGGUGUGACGCCUGCCCGGUG
rnacentral:rRNA from 1 species